AUUGAACGCUGGCGGCAUGCCUUACACAUGCAAGUCGAACGGUAACGGGCCUUCGGGUGCCGACGAGUGGCGAACGGGUGCGUAAUACAUCGGAACGUGCCCGAUCGUGGGGGAUAACGAGGCGAAAGCUUUGCUAAUACCGCAUACGAUCUACGGAUGAAAGCAGGGGACCGCAAGGCCUUGCGCGGACGGAGCGGCCGAUGGCAGAUUAGGUAGUUGGUGGGAUAAAAGCUUACCAAGCCGACGAUCUGUAGCUGGUCUGAGAGGAUGAUCAGCCACACUGGGACUGAGACACGGCCCAGACUCCUACGGGAGGCAGCAGUGGGGAAUUUUGGACAAUGGGCGCAAGCCUGAUCCAGCCAUGCCGCGUGCAGGAUGAAGGCCUUCGGGUUGUAAACUGCUUUUGUACGGAACGAAAAGCCUUCUUUUAAUACAGGAGGGUCAUGACGGUACCAUAAGAAUAAGCACCGGCUAACUACGUG
rnacentral:rRNA from 1 species